rnacentral:rRNA from 1 species
AUACGGAGGGGGUUAGCGUUGUUCGGAAUUACUGGGCGUAAAGCGUACGUAGGCGGACUGGAAAGUUGGGGGUGAAAUCCCGGGGCUCAACCCCGGAACUGCCUCCAAAACUUCCAAUCUAGAGAUCGAGAGAGGUGAGUGGAAUUCCAAGUGUAGAGGUGAAAUUCGUAGAUAUUUGGAGGAACACCAGUGGCGAAGGCGGCUCACUGGCUCGAUACUGACGCUGAGGUACGAAGGCGUGGGGAGCAAACAGGAUUAGGAACCCCAGUAGUCC